UUCCCAUGCAUGGACGGCAUUAAUUAGUUGCAGGAGCUUGCAUGCAUGGCAUUAAUUAGUUAAUUUUUCGUGUUCAACAGCAGCAAUAAAGGAGUUGCUGGUGCUUUUUCAUAUGGCCAUUUAAUGGACGAAAUUAAUUGUAUUGUGCAGCAAAGGAGCUGUCCAGCAUGCGUGGGAUGGUCAUAAAGGAGCUGCUGAAUUUCUCCUCCAUGCAUGGACAUCAUUUAAAGAAGAGUUGCUGUUUUCUAUUUCCCAUGAGCCAUUUUCGUGUUCCUCAAAUGCCAUAAAGGUGCCGCCCAAUUGAGAGAAUGAAUGAGCAGUAUUUAAAAGGGGAGUUGCAAUUAAAGAAAGUGGGCUGCUGGUUUCAAGCUUCCCUUCGAGUAUUGCAAGGGUGAAUCAUAAAUUCACAUUGCAUGGCCGAUGGAGUCUCCAAAGCUGCUCAUUAAUGCUUCCAAUAAUUUUUCAGCUAAUCAAAGUAAAUUUUAAAUAGCUCAUCAAAUUGUUGGCCGAACUUAGCUUGUCCCUUUCAGUUCCCAACGUAGAUCAUUUCUCUUCCCCAAGUUGGCCUUUGAGCUCCCCAAGAAACCAUAAGAGCUUUCACACAAGUUGGAUGAAUUAGGCCAAUCUAAAUAAUUCUAUUUAGCCAUUUCAGCUCAACCAUCACCUCAUUAAUUCAAG
rnacentral:lncRNA from 1 species